CUGACUCCGUUUAUCUCUCUAUCCCUGUUUUGUCUUGUUUGCCGGCUUACUGACUUCUGUGUACCAGACCUUGGCUAGUUUUUGUUCUCGCAGUCUUUGUUCCCUUGACCUCGGCUUGUUCUUGACUCUGUCUAUUCUCUGCUUUACGGCGAGUCCGGGCAUUCUAAGGUCCGGUAAGUCAUAUCUGCUCUAUCUGUCGAUUGUUGGACUAAGUCUUGCGUGUAGGGGUAAACUACCGUGACAUUACGAUAGGGCCAUGGACCCCACAGAUUUAAGUCAGCAAUUGGCUUCUCAUGAGGCUAGAUUUACAGAGCAGGAUCACCGUAUGGAUCAGAUAGCUCAGGCCCUCCAAACACUCUUAUCUAGAACUACAACAGACUGCACCCCUUGUUCCAGAU